AUUGAACGCUGGCGGCAGGCCUAACACAUGCAAGUCGAACGAGUGGCGGACGGGUGAGUAAUGUCUGGGAAACUGCCUGAUGGAGGGGGAUAACUACUGGAAACGGUAGCUAAUACCGCAUACCAUCGGAUGUGCCCAGAGUGGAUUAGCUAGUAGGUGGGGGAAAGGCUCACCUAGGCGACGACCCCUAGCUGGUCUGAGAGGAUGACCAGCCACACCUGAACUGGGACACGGUCCCGGCUCCUACGGGAGGCAGCAGGGGGGAAUAUUGCACCAUGGGCGCAAGCCGGACGCAGCACUGCCGCGGGGUUGAGGAGGGCCUUCGGGUGGUAAAGUACUUUCAUCGGGGAGGCGUUACCCGCAGAAGAAGCACCGGCUAACUCCGUGCCAGCCGCCGCGGUAAUUC
rnacentral:rRNA from 1 species